rnacentral:lncRNA from 1 species
CCGCAAGGCAUGAAGGGGCUCACGGUGCUUAAGCUGAGAAACAGUGUUAUCACCUGCUGUUGUCUCUGAAGAUAUCAGUAAAGAAAGGCACCCAGCAGGAGGGCAAUGGCCCAGGCUCAACACCCACCACCCAGCUACUUCCAAGGAAAUGUGCAAGGAGUGAGCACAUCUUUUGUUAAGGAGAGAACAGGAAGGUCCUUCCAUUUCACUGCUCUCCAUUAGGAUCUUUGUCUCUACAGAAUAAUGGAUUACAGCUCUUCUGCCCAGGAAAAAGAAUCUGUGUUGAAUCUCUGCCAGGUUGCAC